AUACGGAGGGUGCAAGCGUUGUUCGGAAUUAUUGGGCGUAAAGCGCGUGUAGGCGGUCUGUUAAGUCUGAUGUGAAAGCCCCGGGCUCAACCCGGGAAGUGCAUUGGAUACUGCCAGACUUGAGUACGGGAGAGGGUAGUGGAAUUUCGAGUGUAGGGGUGAAAUCCGUAGAUAUUCGAAGGAACACCGGUGGCGAAGGCGGCUACCUGGACCGAUACUGACGCUGAGACGCGAAAGCGU
rnacentral:rRNA from 1 species